UUCCUUAUUCAGUUCUCUUUUCCCCUUUUCCUCUCCUUUCCUUUCAUUACAUUUUUUCAAACCAAAUAUGCCAAUUAAUUUCAUUCGGUUAUUGAAUUUGAUGAAGAUUGCUUUCAAGCUUUUGACAGAAUAGAAUCUCAGGAGAGAGGCAGUGAUGAGGAUCCAUAUGCUGUUGAUGAUGCCGCAUGAACUUUUAAGGUUUUAAUUUUGAUGAGAAUCCAUAUGAUGUUGCUGAUGCCAAUGGUGAAGAUUCAAUUUAUCGGACUGAUGAAGAUAACGGAUUUGGUGGACAGUGGCAGUGAUGAAAAGGGUUACAAAAUUAUAUAACCAGAAAGCCUUUAGCUUUUUUUUUUAUUAAUUUUUUGCUGGAAUGAAACAUGUAAUUAUAAAUUUAGUAGGAAUGUAAGUAAUCAAUAAUGCAUUCAUGAGAGGAUGAAACUGGUUU
rnacentral:lncRNA from 1 species